CGGCUCUUCCCGGAGCACGGGCUCUUAAAGUGGCAAGGGCGGCUGGAGCUGGAGGCUGGCGGUGGGCCAGCUUUCCCGGGCGCUGCGGUGUGGUGCCCUUGGCGUCCGCCAGCCUUUAUGCUCCGGGGAGGAGGGCGGGGAAGGAGUUCCCGAGUCUAGCCGAGCAGAAUGUCACCUUGCAGGGAGGUCGGAAAUGAUGAAAGCAGCCCUUCAAACACCGGGAAAAGCCGACUCAUGGCUGAGAAGGUAAACACAUGCCAAGGAAGGUCACAGGACCUGCCAAGCAGUCAGGGCCUGCUGACGAGCCUCGUGGCCGCACCGAACUGAUUCAUCGAGGCUGAGAGGACUGCACGACCGGACUUCCUCGGUGAGACGAACUUGAAAGCGUCCAUCUGCCACCUCAGAAAGACUGUAUGAGGUCAGCAGCUGUGCCUAGGGCGAUUGCCUCACUCAGGUGGUGGCAGUGUCAAAGAGGACGAACUGCUGUCACUCGGAUUCCAGUCCGAUUCCUGGGAUCCCGACAGGAAGUCCUCAUUGUGGCUGAGAGACAGAAGACGGGGGAGAAGACACACUAGACAUACCAGGCACACUGGAACACUAGCCAGUGUCCAGCUUUGUAUGCCGAGAGGCAGAGACUGAACACACACACACAAAAAGUGUGCAGUAAACGCCAAAAUAAUGACGGGGUUUAUAGCGUGCUCUAACACGCUGCUGGGGUUGUAAAAACGCAUACUCGGGCCGUCUGGAAGAUGACCUGAUUCCCAGGUAAAGAAGAAAUGAGUAGAAGCACCUUCGUUUGUUCAGUUUUUACCCUUUAGCUAAAGCAGUAACCACCCCGCCCCGCUCCCACACGAGGCUGUCAAGGAACCAAGCACCAACGGUGUGCUGGGGGUAACUUUGAAAAGUAGUUCUGGAACGUGGAAAACCCACUGAAACAGCCUCCCAUAUGACUCAGUUACAGCCAACCUUUUCCUCCCCACCCCGAUACCAGGAGCAGGUGCACUUUUCCUCCCUGGUUCUUCAGUACGACCAUAGAUAAUAUAGUCUGGGUCGGGGUAGUGGGAGGAAAUAAGGAACGUGAUUUGGAGUCACCUGGGUCCAGGAAAACUCCUGGUUCCGAGCAUGCGUGGCUUAGGUUCCAGGAUCUGACCGUAAGUUGUAGUUAGCGCUUGCACCCUAGUAGCCAGCAAGGCAUAUUUAAAAGCAAAUGUCUACCUCCCCGGUCUUGGGAACCACCAAGUCUAGCAGGGGAUUCAGGAGUGAAGGCGUUAAUCUUCGUUUUCACCAGUUACCCCAACUCAAGAUGUCAGUCAAAUAGGUCUCGCGAGAAUAAGAAAAAAAGGUAAGGCUUUUUGUUAACCCCGCCUCCUGCCCAAUCUGUUCCCAAGCAACGAUGCCACCAAGCUCCAGUGAGUCGGCUGGUCUGGGAACUGGCAGCCCUAGGCUAUCACAGGUCCUCCCGGAGCUAGGUCGGCUUCUCCAGCAGCCCGCCUCCUGCCCUGCAGACGCUCCAUUGGUCCAGCCUGCCUCCAGGUGAGGGCUGACGCGCGGGUGGGCGGAGCCAAGCGGAGCACGUGAUUUGCCCCCACCCCGGGAGCCGGGACUUGAGUCUGUCUGCCAGUACCUUUUGUCUUGAGUGAGCUCCUUGGUAUCUAUCUGGGUUUGAUUCCUGAGCCCCGGUCCCUCCCUCCUUAGUUGAUAUUAGGACCCAAGACUUAUUGUGCAGGUAAGUCAUUUUCUUCCGCUGAUCCCAGGGGGUGGAUAGGAGAGGGUAGGGAGGAGGACUUAAGGACGGAGAACACGGGAGGAGAACCGAACCUGCUAGGGAUAGCCCAGCCCCGUUACAGUUCAUCCUUCAGGGAACGCGUUUCUGCCCAUGCCCCUCUCUUCUCACCACUGUUCCCAUUCUCAUUUUCUUUUUUCUCUGCAAGAUUGAGUUUUACCUUUGGUUUGGAAUUGCUUUCCUGACAAUGCCCUUAUUCCCACCUCCACCUCACUUCUGGUUGCCUCCUCUGUUCUCUCCAUAGUCUUAAAACUAGAAUGUGAGGUCAAGAAAAUUGGAGAAGAACUUUAGUCGAUUAUCUUUGAUUUGUCAGUUCUGUCAAACAAAUUGAAGUAAUCAUGAUAGGAAAAUCUGUUUAAAAGAUUGUUGGAAGACUUACAGGAUCUGAGAUAUAUAAGUGUGAACAAGGUCAGCAAAUAAUGCAAAGUUGGAGUGCGGCUCUAUAGGCGAGCAAUCAGGGUUUGUGACUUAUGCAAGAACAAGUGUCUGAAUUGGGAGGAAGAGGCUGGACCUGAAUCUCCAUAGGGGCUCCUUGCUUGUAUCACACUAAUCUCUGUAUUAUUUUUAGGGACACCUUCCUUGUAUUUUCUUCUCUCUCUUUCCCCAGGUGCCUCCCGAAGAACUACAAUGUCUGGGAAUACUUCAUCUUCCACAGAACACAGGAGCAGCAGCAACAGCAGCAGCAGUAGCAGCAGCAGCAGCAGCAGCAGCAGCAGCAGCAGCAGCAGCAGCAGCAGCAGCAGCAGCAGCAACAGCAGCUGUAAACCUCACACCUCAAACCUUCGGAAGGCGGGGAAGAAAUGCUCAUGGGCUUCCUACAUGACCAACUCCCCAACCCUCAUUGUUAUGAUUGGUUUGCCAGCCCGGGGUAAAACUUACGUGUCCAAGAAACUAACACGCUACCUCAACUGGAUUGGGGUACCCACCAAAGUGUUUAAUCUUGGGGUCUAUCGGCGUGAAGCAGUCAAGUCCUAUAAGUCUUAUGACUUCUUUCGUCAUGACAAUGAAGAGGCUAUGAAGAUCCGCAAACAGUGUGCUCUGGUAGCACUGGAAGAUGUUAAGGCCUAUUUUACUGAAGAGAGCGGGCAGAUUGCGGUAUUUGAUGCUACCAAUACCACUCGGGAGAGGAGGGACAUGAUUUUGAAUUUUGCCGAGCAGAAUGCCUUCAAGGUAUUCUUUGUGGAAUCUGUCUGUGAUGACCCUGACGUCAUUGCUGCCAAUAUUCUGGAGGUAAAGGUGUCAAGCCCUGACUACCCUGAAAGGAACAGAGAGAAUGUGAUGGAGGACUUCCUGAAGAGAAUCGAGUGCUACAAAGUCACUUACCAGCCCCUUGACCCAGACAACUAUGAUAAGGAUCUGUCUUUCAUCAAGGUGAUAAAUGUAGGCCAGAGAUUUCUGGUCAACAGAGUCCAGGACUACAUCCAGAGUAAAAUUGUCUACUACCUUAUGAAUAUCCACGUCCAGCCUCGCACCAUCUAUCUUUGCCGGCAUGGAGAGAGUGACUUCAAUCUUUUGGGAAAGAUUGGGGGUGACUCUGGCCUUUCGCUUCGAGGCAAGCAGUUUGCUCAGGCUCUGAAGAAGUUUCUAGAGGAACAGGAGAUCCAGGACCUCAAGGUAUGGACGAGCCAGUUGAAGAGGACCAUUCAGACCGCUGAGUCCCUUGGGGUGACCUACGAGCAGUGGAAGAUCCUGAAUGAGAUCGAUGCUGGCGUGUGUGAGGAGAUGACAUAUUCAGAGAUUGAGAAACGGUACCCAGAGGAGUUUGCACUUCGCGAUCAAGAGAAGUACCUGUAUCGAUAUCCUGGUGGGGAGUCAUACCAGGACUUGGUGCAGCGACUCGAGCCUGUCAUCAUGGAGCUGGAGCGUCAGGGCAACAUCCUCGUCAUCUCCCACCAGGCUGUCAUGCGCUGCCUCCUGGCCUACUUCUUGGAUAAAGGAGCAGAUGAAUUACCAUACUUGAGGUGUCCUCUCCACACCAUCUUCAAACUUACUCCUGUGGCCUAUGGUUGCAAAGUGGAAACAAUUAAACUCAAUGUGGAGGCUGUGGACACACAUCGUGAUAAGCCAACUCACAACUUCCCCAAGAGCCAAACCCCUGUAAGGAUGAGAAGGAACAGCUUUACGCCUCUGUCCAGUUCGAACACAAUAAGGCGUCCAAGAAAUUACAGUGUUGGGAGCCGGCCCCUCAAGCCCCUCAGCCCUCUCCGAGCUCUGGACAUGCAAGAAGGGGCGGACCAGCCGAAGACCCAAGUCAGCAUUCCGGUGGUGUAAUUGUGUGUUUCCCUCCAGCUUUGGCCUCUUGCCCUUGCCACUAAUCAGCCAAGAAGUCGUUUAACUUUACCCCACUCCCGUCCCAGCAUUAAUCUGAACAUGGAAUAUGAGCUCAUGCGUGUGCAGAGCAGCCUUAGACAUUCUCUAGUGUAAACACCUCAGCCGGGGGCAAGAUGGCAAGUUGGGUCUUUUUAGGACAGGUUCCCAGAUGGGAUGGUCUGAAGGAAGAGGAGCCAAGCCUGAAUCAUGGACUUGGUUCUUCUGUUUCCUCAUGUCUGACCCACUAAUGUCUCUGUGAAGUGUGUGUGUGUGCUGAGGGGGAGAGGGUGGGAUGGGAGGGAGUGCUGAAUAGAGGGAGAUAGAAAACCCAUGUGUCCUUCGCCUGUGUCCUUUUAAUCUGUCCCUACACUCCAUUUGACUUCCGUGUCUUACAGCUUCGCUUUGGGUUGUCUGGUGUGAUGCAUGGCAUUGUGGUGUCUUAAAGUAAGGGAUGGUUGAUAGGAGUCUGAGCCCCAUUGGUGCUGUCUGCAAGUGGGUCUGGAUCUGCACUGGGAGAGUCUUUUCCUUUCCCUUCUGCCUUCCUCUCCAGCCAGGUCCUGCAAGGGUCAGCCCAGGCUGCAGAACAUCCACAGAAAGCCCUGGAGUUUGCAAGUGGACAGGAUGUGGUGACUUCCCUGUGGCAAAAGCAAAGGACCAAUCACAGUGGGGCGUGUAAUACAGAGAGGGGCUGAGCACUGCUGGUUUGGAUGGAAAUGGGCUGAACUUGGGAAGCCCAGUAACAGAAUUUAUUGCAGAUUUCUUAGGAAGUACAGAAUGUGCUGACUGAGCCUAGACGCCCCUCAAUGGCAUCCCUCACACUGCUGUCCUGAUGUGUGAGGCUGAGGCCAGACCUCUCCGAGGAACUGGAUCUGCUAAAAAGCCUGGGAUGCCAGCAUCACUGAGGCUAGAACAGGAAAUUAAGUGGGAGCAUCUCAUUUGAGGCUUCUGAAAACCUUCACUAUGUUUCUUCCCCUCCUGCGUCACAGGAUCAUUGCUGCGCCUGUGCCUCAGAACUCGUUAGCAGCCUGAGCGCGUUAGCUCCUAAUCUCUGUUGACCCAAGUUUGCAAAUACCGUUUUACGUAGGCAUUCGAUAUUCUACCUAGGACCGCCUGCAUCCUUAGCUGGAGAUUUACCUGACCUGUGAAUACACUGCUUUAGAACUGGUUUCUAGGUGAGGAUGAACUUCAGGGAGAACGUGUGUUGGAGGCGAGCAGGCUAACGUGCAGUAAGAGUGCCAGCGGUUCCUCUUGCCACAAGAGAAGAGACAGGUGACCAGGUAAAUAGAGGCUGUCAGGAGCUCGGCUCUGAAGUGCCUCUUCUCUGGUGACAGGAGAGUAGUAUCUAUGGCUCCCUUUUUACUUAGAGAAGCUUUUCCUGCUCCAUAUUCUUUGCAGGAUCUGGCUGCCAGGAUUCCCCAAAGGGGACCAUGCUUUACAUUCUCGUGUAGCUACUGUUUUCUCUCUGAGGCUUGUGCCUCUCACGCCCAGAGAGGACUGAUUCCAUACCUCCCGAGGGCUGGGAGUGAAGGCUAGAUGGGACCACCUCUAUCCCACCAGGAAAUGAAGAUGCCUUCUUGAUAAUAAGUUACACUGGGAAUUUUUUUUUUUUUUUUAAAUUUCAAAAUAGGCAGAGGCAGACAUGGUCCUCGGGUCUGUCUCAUUGAUGUGGUCUCUGGGAAAGCUGUGGCCAUGACUGCAGGAGCAGUGGUUCUGUGAUGGGUGCCUCUGUUCUGGCUGUCACUACUGUGAUCAGCUGGUCUCCCCCACGAUACUUGACAAAUGCAGCGUGUCCUCUAUUCAUCAGUGAGUGGGUACCCCUUCCAGACGAAUCCAGUUGCGGUAACUAGAUCACUGUCAAAUAGACACACUGUCACUCCACAUGCACGUCUGUUAUGUAGUCCUGAAGAGCAUUGCGGAAGCCACCGUGUAUUGUCCCUGACAAAUAGAACCGAGCGUGUUGGCAUUUUUGUUUGUUUCCUUUUCACUUGAAAUGCUCACUUGUUGGGCAGAGAAAUAGUAUAGCAAGAAAAGUCCCGAAACGCAGCUUUUUCUACAUUUUUUUUUUAUACUGUGGACAAUACUGGAGACGGUUACCCGAGAAGAUGGGAACUGCAGGCAGUUCACUGUCUCCCAACUUGCAGCUUGCUUUAUAUGUGCGUCACCUGCAGGGAGGCCCCAUGCUCUGCUUGCUGUAGGCAGUUUUCCCUUGGCUGCUUGCAGCACGUUGUAGGACAAGGGCUGCCUUCUGCAGUGAAGUACACUCCUUUCUGGUGAUCAGAUGGUAUUUUUAUGAAGCUAUUUAUUGUGUGUGAGGAUUUUGCAUGUAUUUAAUCAGAAUGUCAUGUAUGUUCUGUGUUCUGCUAGCUGUGUAGGUGGCUUGACUCCUAAGCCUAAUGUCCGUAGUAUGACCGUAAGUUAAAUUUGUAGAGCACAAGUACUGAUGUGUGGAAAAGAAUGAUGAUUAUGUUAUGACAGUGCAUUUUUAAAUUUCUUCAUUGGUUUUAUUACAAACCAAGAAAUGUAUUUCUCUGGAGAAAAAUUCUCUCUUGGAUAGUAAAACCAUGCGGAAAUGUCUGAGUUAUGUAAACUGCUUUUGUAAUAAAAUAAAGUUAUUUUUAAUUAAAAGGUGCAAUGAAAUGUUCAAUUCACAUACAAACAGGCAUCAUUUGUUACAUUACAGAUAGACAAAUAUUAGUAUUUUUCGAAAUGUACUUGAAAGUUUUUAGAGACAUGAUUCUGAAGUUAUUAAAUGGUACCUAUGUGUCCA